GGACGCGUGGCCGAGCGGUCGAAGGCACGGGGCUUUUAACCCCGCGGGCAGCCCGUCGUCGGUUCGAAUCCGACCGCGUCCA
rnacentral:tRNA from 1 species